CAGCCGCCACGGUAAUACGUAGGUGGCAAGCGUUAUCCGGAAUUAUUGGGCGUAAAGCGCGCGUAGGCGGUUUCUUAAGUCUGAUGUGAAAGCCCACGGCUCAACCGUGGAGGGUCAUUGGAAACUGGGAAACUUGAGUGCAGAAGAGGAAAGUGGAAUUCCAUGUGUAGCGGUGAAAUGCGCAGAGAUAUGGAGGAACACCAGUGGCGAAGGCGACUUUCUGGUCUGUAACUGACGCUGAUGUGCGAAAGCGUGGGGAUCAAACAGGAUUAGAUACCCGCGUAGUCCCUGUCUCUUAUAC
rnacentral:rRNA from 1 species